UUUGACGAUGGAUUACCAGUGAGCGGCGGACGGGUGAGUAACACGUGGGCAACCUGCCCUGGAGCGGGGGAUAACAUCUGGAAACAGGUGCUAAUACCGCACGACUAUUAAAACCACAUGGUUUUAGUAUAAAAGAAGGCUUUGGCUUUCACUCUAGGAUGGGCCCGCGGUGCAUUAGCUAGUUGGUAAGGUAACGGCUUACCAAGGCGAUGAUGCAUAGCCGAGUUGAGAGACUGAUCGGCCACAAUGGAACUGAGACACGGUCCAUACUCC
rnacentral:rRNA from 1 species